AUUAAACGCUGGCGGCAUGCCUUACACAUGCAAGUCGAACGGUAGCGCGGGGCAACCUGGCGACGAGUGGCGAACGGGUGAGUAAAGCAUCGGAACGUGCCCUGGAAUGGGGGAUAACGUAGCGAAAGUUACGCUAAUACCGCAUAUUCUGUGAGCAGGAAAGCAGGGGAUCGCAAGACCUUGCGUUCUGGGAGCGGCCGAUGUCGGAUUAGCUAGUUGGUGGGGUAAAAGCCUACCAAGGCGACGAUCCGUAGCGGGUCUGAGAGGAUGAUCCGCCACACUGGGACUGAGACACGGCCCAGACUCCUACGGGAGGCAGCAGUGGGGAAUUUUGGACAAUGGGCGGAAGCCUGAUCCAGCCAUGCCGCGUGAGUGAAGAAGGCCUUCGGGUUGGUUAAA
rnacentral:rRNA from 1 species